rnacentral:rRNA from 1 species
ACUCCUACGGGAGGCAGCAGUGAGGAAUAUUGGUCAAUGGGCGGAAGCCUGAACCAGCCAUGCCGCGUGCAGGACGACGGCCCUACGGGUUGUAAACUGCUUUUCCGGGGGAAGAAUAAGGCCCAUGCGUGGGCCGAUGCCGGUACCCCGGGAAUAAGGAUCGGCUAACUCCGUGCCAGCAGCCGCGGUAAUACGGAGGAUCCUAGCGUUAUCCGGAUUUACUGGGUUUAAAGGGUGCGUAGGCGGGCGUUUAAGUCCGCGGUGAAAGUCUGCGGCUCAACCGUAGGACUGCCGUGGAUACUGGGCGCCUUGAAUUCGGUCGAGGCGGGCGGAAUGCGUGGUGUAGCGGUGAAAUGCUUAGAUAUCACGCAGAACGCCGAUAGCGAAGGCAGCUCGCCGGGCCGAUAUUGACGCUGAGGCACGAAAGCGUGGGGAUCAAACAGGAUUAGAUACCCUGGUAGUC